rnacentral:rRNA from 1 species
CCUACGGGUGGCAGCAGUGGGGAAUAUUGGACAAUGGGGGCAACCCUGAUCCAGCCAUGCCGCGUGUGUGAAGAAGGCCCUCGGGUUGUAAAGCACUUUCAGUGAGGAAGAACGCCUGGUGGUUAAUACCCAUCAGGAAAGACAUCACUCACAGAAGAAGCACCGGCUAACUCCGUGCCAGCAGCCGCGGUAAUACGGAGGGUGCGAGCGUUAAUCGGAAUUACUGGGCGUAAAGCGCGCGUAGGUGGCUUGAUAAGCCGGUUGUGAAAGCCCCGGGCUCAACCUGGGAACGGCAUCCGGAACUGUCAAGCUAGAGUGCAGGAGAGGAAGGUUGAAUUCCCGGUGUAGCGGUGAAAUGCGUAGAGAUCGGGAGGAAUACCAGUGGCGAAGGCGGCCUUCUGGACUGACACUGACACUGAGGUGCGAAAGCGUGGGUAGCAAACAGGAUUAGAUACCCGAGUAGUC